CAAGGAUUGCUCGUGGGGUUGCUUUUGCAUCUCAUCCUCACACACACCCACUAAAUAUAGACAUCCAUACACAUCAUCAUCCAUCUAUCAUCACACAUGCAUGAUGAGAUCAGAUGAUGCAUCAUGGAUUGGUGGUGGGUAUGAUUAAGUGAGAAGGAGAAGGAUAUUUUCUCAGGACAUAAUUAAAGAAGAGGAGAGAGAAAUAUAUAAGAACCCUAAAAGAGGAGAGAGUGUGUUUGAAAUCUCCUUUUCUGAGUCUGGUGGUCUUAAAAAAGCUAAAGGUUGCUUUUCUCUUCUCUGAAGCUCAUUUUGUCUGCAAGUGCUUGGAUACACAUGGAUUCCUCU